CGGAGCGUGGCGUAGCCCGGUAGCGCACUGCAAUGGGGUUGCAGGGGUCGCAGGUUCAAAUCCUGUCGCUCCGACGA
rnacentral:tRNA from 1 species